rnacentral:rRNA from 1 species
AGAUUGAACGCUGGCGGCAUGCCUUACACAUGCAAGUCGAACGGCAGCACGGGAGCAAUCCUGGUGGCGAGUGGCGAACGGGUGAGUAAUAUAUCGGAACGUGCCCAGUCGUGGGGGAUAACGCAGCGAAAGCUGUGCUAAUACCGCAUACGAUCUAUGGAUAGGAAAGGCGGGGGAUCGGACAAGACCCUCGGACGUCGAUUGGGAGCCGGCGAUAUCGAGAGUUAGGUAGUUGGUAGGGGUAAAGCCCAC